rnacentral:rRNA from 1 species
AAAGCGCACGCAGGCGGUCUGUCAAGUCGGAUGUGAAAUCCCCGGGCUCAACCUGGGAACUGCAUUCGAAACUGGCAGGCUUGAGUCUUGUAGAGGGGGGUAGAAUUCCAGGUGUAGCGGUGAAAUGCGUAGAGAUCUGGAGGAAUACCGGUGGCGAAGGCGGCCCCCUGGACAAAGACUGACGCUCAGGUGCGAAAGCGUGGGGAGCAAACAGGAUUAGAUACCCUGGUAGUCCACGCCGUAAACGAUGUCUACUUGGAGGUUGUGCCCUUGAGGCGUGGCUUCCGGAGCUAACGCGUUAAGUAGACCGCCUGGGGAGUACGGCCGCAAGGUUAAAACUCAAAUGAAUUGACGGGGGCCCGCACAAGCGGUGGAGCAUGUGGUUUAAUUCGAUGCAACGCGAAGAACCUUAC